rnacentral:lncRNA from 1 species
AGUUAUAGUUUCCCGUACAUAUACAACGUAGUUGUUAAGGAUGAGUUGUUGCAUAGAUCAGAUGCCUUUCUUUAUCUUUCAAGAACACUUCGAUAAUACAGAUAACGCGAUCGUUUUAUAGUUUUGUUCGCUGCCAUUAAAACAAUAACUUUCAUAUUAGUUUUGGCUACGGUUGGGGGCAGUAAAAGAAUCGUCAAGCUCCCUUUAGUUUCAUUUGGGCAAGUGAAGCUUACUAAAAUUCUAUCAAAGAAAAUGAUGUGGAAGAAGGCUACUAUAGUGUUGAUAAUUGCGUGCAUUUUGUUGCAGCAAGUGUCAGCGCGUGAUAGUGACGAAAGCUCCAGCUCG